UACGGAGGGUGCAAGCGUUAUCCGGAUUUACUGGGUUUAAAGGGUGCGUAGGUGGGUAGGUAAGUCAGUGGUGAAAUCUUCGAGCUUAACUCGGAAACUGCCAUUGAUACUAUUUAUCUUGAAUACUCUGGAGGUAAGCGGAAUAUGUCAUGUAGCGGUGAAAUGCUUAGAUAUGACAUAGAACACCAAUUGCGAAGGCAGCUUACUACAUAGUUAUUGGCACUGAGGCACGAAAGCGUGGGGAUCAAACAGG
rnacentral:rRNA from 1 species